UACGUAGGGUGCGAGCGUUGUCCGGAAUCAUUGGGCGUAAAGGGCUCGUAGGCGGUCCAUCGCGUCGGGAGUGAAACGCAUGGGGCCGUUAACCCCAGUCCUGCUUUCGAUACGGGUGGACUAAGAGGUAGGCAGGGGAGAAUGGAAUUCCGGUGGUGUAGCGGUGAAAUGCGCAGAUAAUCAGGAGGAACACCGGUGGCGAAGGCGGUCUGCUGGGCAGCUUGGCUGACACUGAUGCGCGACAGCGUGGGGAGCAAACAGG
rnacentral:rRNA from 1 species